rnacentral:rRNA from 1 species
UACAUGGGGUGCAAACGUUGCUCGGAAUCAUUGGGCGUAAAGCGCGCGUAGGCGGUUACUUAUGUCGGAUGUGAAAGCCCUCGGCUUAACUGAGGAAGUGCAUUCGAAACUGGGUAGCUAGAGUACUAAAGAGGGUCGCGGAAUUCCCGGUGUAGAGGUGAAAUUCGUAGAUAUCGGGAGGAACACCGGUGGCGAAGGCGGCGACCUGGGUAGAUACUGACGCUGAGGCGCGAAAGCGUGGGGAUCAAACAGG